AACGCUUGAGGGCUGGAGGACGCAUGUUCAGUCAAAUUAGACCUGAUAAGCAGAAAAUGGAGUUUAGGCUUUAAUAUUAUACGCCUCUACUGUUAAUCAGUUCAGACUUCAGAGGCUCUGUCUGCGCGCUUCCAUGGCUUCCGUGUCCCUCUCUUCUCUGUGCCUGACGCAGAACCCUAAUUCUAUCAGUUUUAGCUCCAUAGCUUCCGAUCAUGUGAGGUUUGGUUCACCUACUAUUGAAUUCGGCUCCGUCAAGAAGUAUCGGAGAGAUAGAGCUGUCGUCUGCAGAGCUUCCUCGGUUGUCUUUCGCAACCUCGAUGCCGAUGACUUUCGGCACCCUCUCGACAAACAGAACACGCUGAUUUUGAGGGCGAUUCCAGGAUUGAAUGAGCUUGGAAAGAUUCUUCUAGGAUCCGUUGCAGAGCAAGUCAUGCUUCUGGAGAAUAUUGGAACAUCCCUUCUUGUUUCUAAAGAUCAGCUUUCUGGCCUACAUCAAUUGAUGGUUGAGGCCGCGGAAAUCCUCAAUAUUGAUGCUCCUGAUCUAUAUGUUCGUCAAAGUCCUGUACCAAAUGCAUAUACCUUAGCAAUAAGUGGUAAAAAGCCAUUUGUUGUUGUUCAUACUAGCCUUGUGGAGCUUUUGACUCGAGAAGAGUUACAGGCUGUUUUGGCUCAUGAGUUGGGUCAUCUCAAAUGCGACCAUGGUGUAUGGCUGACAUUUGCAAAUAUUCUUACCCUUGGAGCUUAUACCAUACCUGGGCUUGGUGGGAUGAUUGCUCAGAGUUUAGAAGAACAGUUAUUUCGUUGGCUUCGAGCAGCAGAGCUAACUUGUGAUCGUGCAGCCCUUCUUGUUGCACAAGACCCAAAGGUGGUCAUCUCUGUUCUAAUGAAAUUAGCUGGGGGCUGCCCUUCUCUGGCUGAUCAACUAAAUGUGGAUGCAUUUUUGGAACAAGCUCGCUCCUAUGACAAAGCUUCUUCAAGCCCAGUAGGGUGGUAUAUAAGAAAUGCUCAAACGAGGCAACUUUCACAUCCUCUGCCCGUUCUACGUGCUCGUGAAAUUGAUGAAUGGUCAAGAAGUCAAGACUACACAACUCUUCUGAAACAUGCAACACAGAUCACUGGUGCAAAGAAAGUUUUAACAACACCAGGAAGAUAGUCAAAAUCCAAAGCACUGUGAAAAGAAGAAAAAUCAUUGCUCUUUAUCCAUGGUCUUAUGGAACAAAGAAUAGGCAGCCCUGCGUCUCACGGCAAAGAGCUACAGAGAUAAAGAGGAUAUGCUAAGAGUUUUUUCUGCUGUAAAAGCCUUGCUGUAAGUAAAUUCUGCAGAUUGAGGAUGCACGGGUCGUAACUCAUAAGUUGAGUACUUUGGCUUGUCAAUCUUGUAUUACAAAUUUAUUUGGUAAUUAAACUGUAUAUAUUGCAUUACAAAUUUAUAUUUUAUAGAGUUAUUUGGCA